rnacentral:rRNA from 1 species
GCCUAUGGCCAAAUCAUCCGGCAUCCAUCCAAUCUCAUCAGAUCUUGAAAGCUAAGCAGGUGUGUGUCUGGAUAGUACUCGGAUGUAUGACCACAAUGCUUGUAACAUGUGCUGUAGGCC